rnacentral:rRNA from 1 species
GUAGGUGGCAAGCGUUGUCCGGAAUUAUUGGGCGUAAAGCGCGCGCAGGCGGUUCUUUAAGUCUGAUGUGAAAGCCCACGGCUCAACCGUGGAGGGUCAUUGGGAAACUGGAGAACUUGAGUACAGAAGAGGAAAGCGGAAUUCCACGUGUAGCGGUGAAAUGCGUAGAGAUGUGGAGGAACACCAGUGGCGAAGGCGGCUUUCUGGUCUGUAACUGACGCUGAGGCGCGAAAGCGUGGGGAGCAAACAGGGAUUAGAUACCCUGGUAGUCCACGCCGUAAACGAUGAGUGCUAAGUGUUAGGGGGUUUCCCGCCCCUUAGUUGCUGCAGCUAACGCAUUAAAGCACUCCGCCUGGGGAGUACGGCCGCAAGGCUG